rnacentral:rRNA from 1 species
UACGAAGGGGGCUAGCGUUGCUCGGAAUCACUGGGCGUAAAGGGUGCGUAGGCGGGUCUUUAAGUCAGGGGUGAAAUCCUGGAGCUCAACUCCAGAACUGCCUUUGAUACUGAAGAUCUUGAGUUCGGGAGAGGUGAGUGGAACUGCGAGUGUAGAGGUGAAAUUCGUAGAUAUUCGCAAGAACACCAGUGGCGAAGGCGGCUCACUGGCGCGAUACUGACGCUGAGGUGCGAAAGCGUGGGGAGCAAACAGG